UCAGUUUACCACUCAUCCAGAAUGUGGCCUCCUACACUCCAUCCAGAAUUUUGUAUCAUUCCUACUCCUAAAUUUUCAAUCAUCUUGAUAAUGGCUUUACCUCCAAACUCUUCACAAGGAUUGAAGAGUGGGAUUGGAAUUAUGGAAAGUUUUGAUGACAUCUGUGUUCACAAGUGUAAGCCUUUCAAGAAGAUAGAGCUGAUAGAGGCUGAGGGAUUUGCUCCAGAACAGAUACCCCAAGGAAUAAAGAACUGACGGUGUGUUGA